rnacentral:lncRNA from 1 species
AUGGGGGGAAAUCAGUGUAGAAAGAAAUUUUCUGGUGGCACCUUCAUGGGACUCCUCACAACUCCAAAAUACUUAGGAACCUUCUAUGCUCAGAAGAGGACACAAAUGGCUGUUAGAAAUUCCUUGCAAUGUUGCAAUGAUGGUUCCAGUUGCUUCACUGUUUCCCAAGGGGAUGGAGUAUUGCUCUGUCACCAGCUUGGAGUGCAGGAUGCGAUCUUGGCUGACUGCCAGGCUCAAGUCGUUCUUCUGCCUCAGCCUCCUGAGUGUCUGGGACUACAGGCGCAUGCCACCAUGUCCAGCUAAUUUUUGUAUCUUUAGUAGAGACAGGGUUUCACCAUGUUGGCCAGGAUGGCCUUGAUCUCUUGACCUCCUGAUCCACCCGCCUUGGCCUCCCAAAGUGCUGGGAUUACAGGCAUGAGCCACUGCGCCUGGCUGCCUUACACUUUCUUGUCUGAUUCUUGUCUGUAUUGCUCAUCUAGACUGCAAACUCCAAAAAGGUAGGUGAUUUUGUUUCAUCCAUUUCUGUAGCCCAGUCCUGGCCCAUGGUAGGCAGCUGAUCACAUUUGUUAAAUGAACGCCUAAUGAAGUAACUAGAAUUUGGGGGGAGCCCUAGCACAGCUCCAGAGGAAGAUUUUUAAAAAUAUUUCUCUCUGUUACCCAGGCUGGAGUACAGUGGCACAAUCUUGGCUCACUGCAACCUCUGCCUCCCAGGUUAGGUGAUUUUCCCACCUUAGGCUCCCAAGUAACUGGGAUUACAGGUGUGCACCAUCAUGCCUGGCUAAUUUUGUAUUUUUAGUAGAGAUAGGGUUUUGCCAUGUUGGCCAGGCUGGUCUCAAACUCCUGACCUCAAGUGAUCCACCCACUUUGGCCUCCCAAAGUGCUGGGAUUACAGACUUGAGCCACUGUGCUGGGCCCAGAGGGAGAUUUUUUUAAGGCCCUGGAAGAUAAAUGGAGAGAGACUAGAGGAAAGAAAAAAUCCAUUAACAAAUGAUACUUG